UUAAAUAGCUGCAGUAUUUUAACUGUACAAAGGUAGCAUAAUCAAUAGUUUUUUAAUUGAAAGCUGGAAUGAAAGGUUUGAUGAAAUAAAAUCUUUUUUUUUUUUAAAAUUUAAAAUUUUUUUAUUAGUAAAAAAACUAAUAUGAAUUUAUAAGACGAGAAGACCCUAUAGACUUUAAUAUUAUUUUGAAUGAAUAAAAUUUAAUUUAUUAAUUUUAUUUAAAAUAUUAUUUAAUUGGGGUGAUUAAUAAAUUUAAAUAACUUUAAUUAAGUUUAACAAUAAUGAUUGGAUAAUUGAUCCUUAAGUUUGGAUUAAUAGAAUAAAUUACCUUAGGGAUAACAGUAUAA
rnacentral:rRNA from 1 species